AUUGAACGCUGGCGGAAUGCUUUACACAUGCAAGUCGAACGGCAGCACGGACUUCGGUCUGGUGGCGAGUGGCGAACGGGUGAGUAAUGUAUCGGAACGUGCCCAGUCGUGGGGGAUAACGUAGUGAAAAUUACGCUAAUACCGCAUACGAUCUAUGGAUGAAAGCGGGGGAUCGCAAGACCUCGCGCGAUUGGAGCGGCCGAUAUCAGAUUAGGUAGUUGGUGGGGUAAAGGCCCACCAAGCCAACGAUCUGGAGCUGGUCUGAGAGGACGACCAGCCACACUGGAACUGGGACACGGUCCAGACUACUACGGGAGGCAGCAGUGGGGAAUUUUGGACAAUGGGCGAAAGCCUGAUCCAGCCAUUCCGCGUGCAGGAUGAAGGCCCUCGGGUUGUAAACUGCUUUUGUACAGAACGAAAAGGUUUCUACUAAUACUAGGAGCUCAUGACGGUACUGUAAGAAUAAGCACCGGCUAACUACGUGCCAGCCGCCGCCGUAA
rnacentral:rRNA from 1 species